rnacentral:rRNA from 1 species
UACGUAGGGCGCAAGCGUUGUCCGGAAUUAUUGGGCGUAAAGAGCUCGUAGGCGGCUUGUCACGUCGGGUGUGAAAGCCCGGGGCUUAACCCCGGGUCUGCAUUCGAUACGGGCUAGCUAGAGUGUGGUAGGGGAGAUCGGAAUUCCUGGUGUAGCGGCGAAAUGCGCAGAUAUCAGGAGGAACACCGGUGGCGAAGGCGGAUCUCUGGGCCAUUACUGACGCUGAGGAGCGAAAGCGUGGGGAGCGAACAGG